AUUGUUACAAUUGUUUGAGUAUUGUUCUAUUUGAUUGAAGCUUAAAAUAGGCUACAAGGAAAGAAGAAAUAAUUGACGGAAAGAAAGAUAGUAAAUUUAUUUUGGUUAAUAUCAAUAAAUUUAAACUAAAAUUAAUUACAAUUAUAUAUAAUUUUUAGCGUUAGUUGCGCUAUUUGCCUUAAGGCAAAUCAUGGAUAAUACCCACCGCCUCGAGCCAAUCAAUUUUAUAUAUGUGAUGUGUGUUUCCUAACUUAAUUUUGGAUUGCAUUAAAUAUUCUUUAAAAAAAAGAGACUAGGGCUGUGUGAAAUUUAUUAAGGAGAAUUUAGAAAAAAAUGAUAUAGAUUUCAGUGAUUGCCACCACUGAUAGUCAUUGCGUGUUUGAUGAGCGUUUUAUGAAAUGUAUUUAAAGGCUAAAAAACAUUUAUCAGUAUUAAAAAAAAAAAAGGUAAAGGAUGGAAGGCAUUCAUCCGAUAGGAGUAAAAUAGUGGUGUUAGCUUUUUAUACAAAAACAAAAAGAAAAACCAAAAUUGAAGUUUUCUCUGGGUAUAAUGAGAAAAUUUAUAUAUUCCAUAAGCGAACUAUAAGUGCAGUGGUUUUCUACAUCAACCGUUAAGAAGAAUAUUAGUUUACAAAUGCGUAAUCAAGCAGUUCAAGUACGGUUAUUGAAUGAGGUCGUGUUGAUGCGCGAUGCGCGAAAAGUCAUGCGCGAUCAUUAAAAGUAUGCCGUCGUCGCAGAGAAAAGGAUGGUUCAAGCAACUAAGUGGUCAUAAGUUCUACUAGAGCGCUGUCAUUCUAUCAUUUUCUUUUUCAGUGCAAAGCUAAUAUAUACAAAGUUAAAUAUUAGUAAUGAAAUGGUUUAUUAAAAUGAUGGAUGCUUUACGCACUAUUCAGAAACACAAAUUAAUUCUAAUUAGAUCACAAUGUGUCUUCGAGUCACAUUUGAAUUUUGAAUUUAAGUUUUUUAAUAAUUUCACUUAAAAUUAACAAUUAAGCCCAACAAGUGAAGGCGUUGUAGUGGACCAGGGUUCACCGUUAAAUACUUUACACUACCCUAUAGGUAUUCAGGUAAUGCUCUAAAAUGAAGCGUUAUGGUUGAAGAAGUGGUUGGAUCCGAAACAUUGGCAACAGGGUCUGUUCUUGGACCAAAAGACGUUCAUGUAUCAAAUUUGAUUGAAAUAUUUUAAAAAUUACGGCUUUUAGGUUGAGCAUAAACAAAGGCAAAGGCGGACAAAUGGACGAGCAAGCAUAAAUCAGUUUAGAAUCAUUUUUUGUACAAUAAAACGUCCUUCUGGAUGUUUCAAACAUCUGCCGAAAUGUAAUAUGUCCGUUUAUCACAUGUGAUAUAAGAAAAUGAGUUUUAUUAUACCACGAUGUGACUGUCAGUCACACAGCAUAUUAUUACGUUACACUGUGAAAUAUGUACAUUGGAUAUUAACCUUUAUGCGAUGUAUAUUUGUCGAGACAUGUUUUAAUUUUCUACUACAUAUGCAUUAUAGAGAGUACCGUUGGUUUGUUUUAUACAGACAUUGGAGAUACGACGAUAAGAGCGCACGGUUAACCCGCAGAGAAGGUAAUAAUAUUACGGCAUUUUGAAGUUUUAGGCAAAAAAUCAUGAAAACUUUAACAUUAAUUUUGGUGACUGAUGAACAGCUAACUCCUUAUCGCGGGAAAGUGUCGUUUUUGCAACAUAUUCCAUCCAAAACCGGACAAAUAUGGCAUUAAAGUUUUUUGGAUAGGCGAAUGCAGAGGCAGCUAUCCAUUGUAAGUAAUCUGCUACCUGGGAUAAGAAAGACUCAAUCGAGGACAUAAUUUGAGAGAAAGAGAGUUUGAGAAGUCGCGCGUCUCAUUUCAGAACAAUAAUCGCAUUAUCAUAUUUGAUAAGUUCUAUAAGAAAUAAAACUAAUAUGUACACGAUUGCCCUAUUUUAUAAGUUAGUUGAUUAUCUAAAUGAAUGGGAAUCGUUCGAAAUCAAAUCAAUGCUUGUUACCAAACGCUACAGAGUUUGGUUCAGGACGUGAUAAUACCAAGCCCACAGCGACGCAGCACUCAUUACUUGAAUAAGUGUGCAGUUGCAGGCAUUAAUAAAUAAAGCGACCGCAUACCCACCAGGAUGGAAGUUCAACUCCAGCCAGAUGAUACGCGAACUAAAAGCAAUAUUUGGCCUUGUGUCAUCUGUGCUCACCCAAUCACACAUCGAAUGCUAGACAAAAGUUAUCAUAUGCUGAACUUGCAUUAAUAAAUACAUUUUUGCUUACCUUUUAAAUGAAUUUUUUUUUAUAUAGUUCGAAAUCAAAAAAUAUAUGGCCCGUGAAUAAUAUUUGAUGUUUGUAUAUAGCGGGCUUGGAUAAAUAAAUGAAUUCAAACUAGAAACAAAAAUAAUAUCUCAAUUAAUCUUAUACUGCUUAAAAGUGACUGAGAGUCACAUCGUGGUAUAAUUCGUUCUAAAAACACGUGGCAAGACCAGUGUUGAAAGUUUUAAUAGAAAUGAAUUUAAGUUUAUAAAGCGUUUUAAUAACUACAAGUAUUUUUACUUAAAAUGUAAAAAAAAAAAUUAAUAAAUAACAAAUAUAUAUUGCCUAUAACCGAUUAAUUCAACGCCGCCCAGAGAGAAGACAUUGAUUUUUACUUGAUGACUUGUUUCCCUCGAAUUUUUGAAAUGAAUUGAUGUUAAAGAGUGUUUCAAAGCGUCCAACGAGACCAAAAAAGUAGGACACGUCGGUGUAAAAAAGUUUAACUCUAAUAAGAUUUAUUAUAAUAAUUAAUUGUUACAUUAAUUGUGGAACCCUCAAAAAAAGAUGUCAACGUUCAUUUGACCAUCAAUUUUAAAGCUACAGUAAGCAGACGUAAUCUUGACUGAAAUUCAUAGGUACUAUUUCGAAUAGAGCUAGUGAACUAAUUUGCGCUUCGUGGCCAAAGAAGAAAAUUUUCAUCGUUCAAUUAGAUUGUAAACACUCGUGAAUGAUUGCUUUUCACUAUCUUGAGAGAAGUAAUGGAUAAAAUCUUAAAAGGUCUUGAACAAAUCUAGUAUUAUUUAGGCUUAUUGCACUAAAUGCCGGAGAAGAGUUUGAAACAAGGUAAAAAAGAAAAACAAAUUUGAAAUUAUUACGGUGCAGACUUUGCUUUACUAUAUUUUCUAAGAGGCGAACGCAUUCAUUUGUAUUUAAUAGUCUAAGAGCCUCUUAAUAACCCCACAUGAGACCUUUCACAAUUGUGUUAGUUGACACGAUUGCGCAUCGCAAGUUCUUCGUUUUCUCAAGAUUGCAAAGAUUGUGCAGCGUUUCAAAAUUAGUUUGUAAAACAUAUUUUGCUUUUCUCUUUCUAUUCAGCAGUUCUUUCUAUUCAACAGUUAAAAAACCAAUAAGUUUACUUAGCUCGUAAUAAGAUUAAAAUGAAAGCAAAACAAGGCAACGUGAGUCACGCAUUCAAGCUCUAAUCUACCAAAUCAAUCAAAAAGGUGAACAUAGAAAUUGAUGCACACGCAAUUCUCUUUUUACACGAUAUAUAUGCCCCUUAAAAAAUUGUGCAAAAAAAUCGUGUAAAAAAUAUAUGUGAGAUAGUUUAAAUUUGGGGACACUUUCCGCAACUUUAAAAAUCAUCUAAGAUUAAAAACUCGAUUUAUUUUCCCAAAGAACUAUGCAAAAAAAGUAAUAAUUAAAUCCAGAUUAUAUAUUUAUAAAACAGAAACAAUUCAUAUUUAUUAUACAAAAAAAAAAAAAAAAACAAAAAAAAUCACAAUUGGCGUGCAGUGAAAAUUCAGCCCAUCAGUUCAAUAUGUAAAAAUUUGAACCGAAAUUAGGAGUAAAAAUCAAUUUUGCAACUACUCAUCGCUACUUGAUGAGAACCGUGCAUGUCUACUAUGUACUAUGCCUACUAACGACAGCAUUUUCGAUUCAGUCUGUGCUAAUGAUAGCAAUUAAGAACACCGUUUGUUAAUAGUAGAUCAAACCACUAAACGAUGUGUGGACAUAAAUCGACCUGCUUCUGAUCACGGUGUUCUUCCAAUUGCAUUCUGUUAGUGUAAGACACUGCCAAAAUUAGAAUUUAAAAAAAGUUGGUUUUAGGAUUCGUGCUAGAACACUUCGCGUGGCAAAGUGCAUUUGUUUUCAUUGGUGAACAGUGUUAUUUCAAAAUCGUGCGAAAAAAGGGCGGUGUAAAAAAGAUUUGGGCACACUUUUAUUAAUAGAGAAUUACUUUCCGUUUCCAUGGAUAGUUUUUACUUAAUAUGUGCUUAGUUAUAUGCGAGAUUUUAAAGGAGAGGAGACAUAUUUAAAUAAUUAAAUGAAAAGCAGAAGAAAACCGCUGGAUUAUAUAUCUGAAGUGAACAGUUCACAUUUUCUCACGAGUAUACGAAUUUGUAAAGCAUUGACAAUUCAGUAAAAUGACAUUUACAUUAUAGAAGCACAACGACGUCACCCGACACAGAUUGUUGGAUCUCUCAUAGACACGAUUUUUCCACUUAAGCUGAAAAUGUCUUUGAAUUCAUUAGAGAAAGAUAAUGAAAAGCAAAAUUCAAUUCAUCAGAAGUUCAAGGUAAUUAUAAACAAGUAAAAGCAUUGCGGCGGGUCAAGGUCCACUUUUAAAUAACCUACCACGUUUCGUUUAAUAUAGUUAUGUAUAUGACGACUGUUCAAUGUAAGGCGUUAUAUGGUUAAUGGUCGAAAAAGGCGUUCCGCUCCUAAUCACUUUCAAUAGGGCUGGUGUCUGACUCAAAGCGCGGUGAUGUACCAAAUUUCAUAAAAAUAUCUAAAAAAUUGGAAGACAGGCAGACGGACAGAGAAGCUUAAAUCGAUUCAGAAGGUGAUAUAUAUAUAUACCCGCGCAGACUUACUACCGAAAAUGAUAUACGCUGUAAAAGAAGCUGAAUUCAACUUAAGAAAUGGUUUAUAAAAGAUAUACGAAAUUUUCGUAAAUAUAAAGAAACGUGGAGCGAAAAAACACGAUUUAAGGGAAAGACGGUUGUCUCAAGUAUUAAUUUCACUUUUAUUUAAAUGAUAUCACGCCGUCGAUAGAAGACAAAGAGGCCAUUAUACAAGAGCUAUCUACAGUUGCAGAUGAUAAUAGUAAGACGUUAGAUGAGAAGACGUGAAACGAAAUUAAAAUUAAACCCAGAGCAGUAGAGGGUAUACGUGAAAAUUUUAAAACUAUGCUAUUAACAGGAAAUGUUAACAGAAAAUCGAUUGUUUCGGCGUUCAGAUUUUAUAUUUAUGUGUUUAUACCGUAGGCACAGUUUUCUUUCGGAACUUUUUAUAUGAACAUGAUUACGAAAUGAAUGAUAUGGGAGAGGAAGGGCAAGACUAAAUAAAGAAUAUUUAUUUCUUCGGUGGUGGGCAUAAAGACUUACACUUGCAUAUACAUAUACGUAUUUAUGUAUGCAUGUAUGUGUGUAUGUAUAUAUGUAUGAAAAAAUUGCUUACAUAAAUUAAGUGCAACGGAUUACUUUUCCUAUACAUUUUUAAAUUUACACGACCGUAUUGAGCGGAUUGUGCAAAAUUCAGUUUAUACGUAACACGUUGUUGUCAUAUAUCAAAUAAAGAUAAAAAAAGAAAAGAAAAAAUUUAAUUAAAAUUAAUACUCAAGACAUGUAAUACAAAUUGAUCGAAUUUCAUAUGAAAACCAACAUGAAAAUCGAUCAAACACUUUGAAAGGAGAUCGAUCCUCUUUCGUUGACUUCUCCCUGGUUCUUGUUUCUAUCACAUCUUUUGCUGAUUAUCUUUUUGUGGUGUUUUGUAUUGUUUUGUUUUUUGCAUUUUGUUCUCUGUUUUCGUUUUUUUUUUUUCUUCUCAAUCAAUUAAUUAAUUCAAGUCAAUAUUUGAGCAUAAAUGAAUAAUAAUGUAUAUGAAUACCAUUAGUGUAAAUUGCUUAUCUCUAUUAUUUGUUGAUAUUGCUUUUUUUGGUUGAUUGAUUGUUAUACAAGAUAUCUUAGUUUUAUUUAUUUUUUUUCAUAAUUUUAGCUUAAAAUUUCCUUUUUUUUUAUAUUUAUAUCCACUAAUUUAAAAACUAAAUUGUUAUAUAAUUAGUUGAAUUACAUAUCCAUCACCGCGGUAAUUACAUAUAUUUGAUAAUUUCAAGUUUGCUUUUUUUUGCUUGCACGUCAGUCCGUCCACUGUAAAUAUUCGAUUCUCGUUUAGGGUAAAUGAAAGCACACUUAAAUAUAUGUGUAAACGUAUUUAAUAAGUAAAAACACUAUAGGUGGCUACGACGCAUCGUUAAGCACCCUACAUCAUUUUACAAUUAUUCAUACGACUUUUCGAAAUUAGGCGUUACAUGGGAGUGGUCGAAAGACUGGUUCGACCCAAACCUUGUACCACAAUUUAAGGCGGUGUAAUAAAAAUGUAAUCUGAAAAUUUCGUAGAGUAUCUUUACCGACAUACUGGAUAUUUGCUGUGGCAACGGCAAAUUUGUAAUUUCAGAGUAAUAUAGAAAAAAAACGUCUUGACUUUGAAAAUUGUCACUAAUGUUUUCACAUAAAUACAUACUUGCGUUAGGAUAUUGUUUACUUAUUGUAAAAUUUCCGGUGUGUGUAUGUCAAAAACGUUCGUAGUGCGCCGAACUUUUGCUCGAUAUUAAAAUAAAAAAAAAAAUUUGAAUAUAUGCACAAUUUUGCUUAAUUACACUACGAAAAGUGUAACUAAGUAAGUACUAGCGUGCAGUUCAAUCUAAAGUACAAAAAAAAAAAAAAAAA